AUUGAACGCUAGCGGCAUGCCUUACACAUGCAAGUCGAGCGGAGUGGCGAACGGGUGAGUAAUGUAUCGGAACGUGCCCAGUAGCGGGGGAUAACUACCCGAAAGCGGAGCUAAUACCGCAUACUAUUUGAUCAGCCUAUAUCGGAUUAGCUAGUUGGUGGGGUAAAGGCCCACCAAGGCGACGAUCCGUAGCUGGUCUGAGAGGAAGACCAGCCAAACUGGAACUGAGACACGGCCCAGACUCCUACGGGAGGCAGCAGUGGGGAAUAUUGGACAAUGGGGGAAAGCCUGAUCCAGCCAUGCCGCGUGUGCGAAGAAGGCCUUCGGGUUGUAAAGCACUUUAGGCAGGGAGGCGGUACCUGCAGAAUAAGCACCGGCUAACUCCGUGCCAGCAGCCGCGGUAAUUC
rnacentral:rRNA from 1 species